rnacentral:lncRNA from 1 species
UUUUAUAAUGGCUAAAUCAACCGAAUCAAGCUAAUUCCUUUCUUUUUCCCUUAUCAAACCCUAAAUCUCCCCCUCUAACUGCCGAUUCAUCUCCGCAAAAUGGUGCUCUCAAGUUUGAAGGAAUAACCUUUCAGCCUCGAGAUCUUCCCUUGGCUUCAAUUUCAACGAAGUAAAGAGAAGAAAUCCAUGGCAUAUUUGCACAGUAAGGUUUUUCUUUUCCUUUGUUUUCUUUUUUUAAAAGACAAAUGCAAUAAUGAAGCAUUCAAGAAAAUAAAUCGAAAGAAAAAAAAAACUAGAAAAGCUUAAAUCAUAAAUCACCUUAAAAAUUUUGACUGAUUUCUUUGUAUUCGAUUUGCAUGCGUAAUCUAUUUACAGUGUACAAUCGGCUUUUUAUAGCCGAGCCAAAGGAAAAAUAAUAAUAAAAUAGAAAAUGUAAAUACAAAUUUCUUUUUCUGUUAUUACUUUCUCAGUUUAUUUGUUCUUCUCGCAGGUUCUAUGGACGCCAGGCGUGCUGUACGGAGAAAGAGGCCGUGGAGGCCAUGCAUGGGAACCACUCGUGGGAGCCCGAUCUGCUGCUGCUCUAGCGGGUUCCAGAAACCUCUAGGGUUUCUAGUGUUUCCAAACUAUUGGGCCCCUUUGGGCCAUUUAUAAAUUGGGCUAGGAUUUUGGGUUUUGGACUAGUGUUUUAUUUCUGUUUCGGGCUAUGUUUUGUUAUGGGGCUUAAGGGAUUUAUUUGGGUUAAUGGACUUUGGGUUAGUGUUUUAGGCCUUUAUUUUUGUAAAAAGACUUGGACUUUUAAUUUAUUUGGUUCAUGGCUUUAUUUUUUAUUAUUAUUUUUUUCUAUUUUUGGUUUUGGUAUGGUUUUUUAUGGGCCCGGGCGAAAUGGGCCUAUUACACCCGUAAAAAGGGUAAUUCAAAUUUUGAUCGAAGGUAGGGCAUGCGGUAGUCUUGCAAUACCUGAAUUAACAAGGAGGAGAGAUGUUACGUCUUGGGGCAUCAACAGAGUGCUCUAGAUCCCCUAAACACAUAUUGAACUCAAAAGAGGUCCUCAAGAAGCUUGUACAGAGAAGCUCAUGCUGCGAUAUCUAGGGCACCUAUUUUCCUUUUAUUCAUUUUGUAUUCUAGCAAUAUUUGUUUUCUUUGAUAAAUCUACUCUUUUCAAAUGUUGUUUCUGAUAAAUUUUAGUUCUGUCCAUCAUUACGAUCUUUUUCAAGCAUUUUGCAUUGAAAUAACGAUUAAUGGACUAAU